GACGAACGCUGGCGGCGUGCUUAACACAUGCAAGUCGAACGGAAAGGCCCUGCUUUUGUGGGGUGCUCGAGUGGCGAACGGGUGAGUAACACGUGAGCAACCUGCCCUUGACUUUGGGAUAACUUCAGGAAACUGGGGCUAAUACCGGAUAGGAGCUCCUGCUGCAUGGUGGGGGUUGGAAAGUUUCGGCGGUUGGGGAUGGACUCGCGGCUUAUCAGCUUGUUGGUGGGGUAGUGGCUUACCAAGGCUUUGACGGGUAGCCGGCCUGAGAGGGUGACCGGCCACAUUGGGACUGAGAUACGGCCCAGACUCCUACGGGAGGCAGCAGUGGGGAAUAUUGCACAAUGGGCGGAAGCCUGAUGCAGCAACGCCGCGUGCGGGAUGACGGCCUUCGGGUUGUAAACCGCUUUCGCCUGUGACGAAGCGUGAGUGACGGUAAUGGGUAAAGAAGCACCGGCUAACUACG
rnacentral:rRNA from 1 species